rnacentral:rRNA from 1 species
GAUCAUGGCUCAGGAUGAACGCUAGCUACAGGCUUAACACAUGCAAGUCGAGGGGGAAACGACAUCGAAAGCUUGCUUUUGAUGGGCGUCGACCGGCGCACGGGUGAGUAACGCGUAUCCAACCUGCCCAUCACUUGGGGAUAACCUUGCGAAAGUAAGACUAAUACCCAAUGACGUCUCUAGAAGACAUCUGAAAGAGAUUAAAGAUUUAUCGGUGAUGGAUGGGGAUGCGUCUGAUUAGCUAGUUGGCGGGGCAACGGCCCACCAAGGCGACGAUGCGUAGGGGUUCUGAGAGGAAGGUCCCCCACAUUGGAACUGAGACACGGUCCAAACUCCUACGGGAGGCAGCAGUGAGGAAUAUUGGUCAAUGGGCGUAAGCCUGAACCAGCCAAGUAGCGUGAGGGAAGACUGCCCUACGGGUUGUAAACCUCUUUUGUUUGGGAAUAAAGUGCGGGACGUGUCCCGCAUUGCAUGUACCAUUUGAAUAAGGACCGGCUAAUUCCGUG